rnacentral:rRNA from 1 species
GCGUUGAAAAGCUCGGGGAUGACUUGUGGGUAGCGGUGAAAUUCCAAUCGAGCCCGGAGAUAGCUGGUUCGCCCCGAAAUAGCUUUAGGGCUAGCCUCAAGGUGAGAGAUACGGAGGUAGAGCACUGAAUGUCCUAGGGGGUAUUGCACCUACCGAAGACUAUCAAACUCCGAAUGCCGUCAUCUUAUACUUGGGAGUCAGACUGUGGGUGAUAAGAUUCAUAGUCGAAAGGGCAACAGCCCAGAUCGUCAGCUAAGGUCCCUAAAUGUAAGUUAAGUGGUAAAGGAUGUGGGAUUGCACAGACAACCAGGAUGUUGGCUUAGAAGCAGCCACUCAUUCAAAGAGUGCGUAAUAGCUCACUGGUCGAGUGAUCCUGCGCCGAAGAUUUCCGGGGCUAAAACUUACUACCGAAGCUACGGCAUCAGUAAUGAUGGGUAGGGGAGCUUCCCAUACGGGUUGAAGCAUGACCGUAAGGACAUGUGGACAGUAUGGGAGUGAGAAUGUUGGCAUGAGUAGCGAGAUGUGGGUG